UAUGGUUCGGUCAACGAAUUCUCUACGAUCUUGUUCGAAAUCUUACCGAUCUCGAAUUCUUCAAUAACUCUCAGAGAUUUCUGUAUAAGAUUCUCGCAGAAUUCACUACAAUCAUUUGGUAACAAAUUGUAAACGAUUUUUUCAACGAAUUCUGUGAGAAUUCGUAGAGAAAUUGAGACAAAUAUUGGACUUGCCAAAAUCACUACAAAUUUUCACCGAAUUCGUAGAGUCGUAGAGAUACUAAAGCCUGCGUCUUGUGCGAAAUUUAAGAGAGCAACGAGGUGAUUAAAAUCAAUCACUAGUUAGUCCCCAACCACAGCCAUGAGCAGGCUGGGUGUCUUUUCCCUCUCGAAUCGACAGAAAAGAAGACUUAUUAAAAAUCUUGGUGACGACAAAAUUUUUACAGAUAAUUCAAGUGAAUCAUUAAAAGUAGUUGCGAGUUCAUCAUCAGCCAACACUUAGAACACUGAAGAAGCCAAUUCAUCGUCAACGAAUUUAUGUGCUGCACAAGUCGUUCCUGACCAGACUACCUCCAUUGGCUUGCCGACUGACGACAUUGUUGAAGUGUUUUUCGUCGAGAGAGAGGAUAAAGCAAUUCAAACGGAUUCUUAUGAAUUAACAAACAUUAUGAGACUUUUGCACUCCAUUAAACUGGAACUUCAAGGACAUGGACAGGCGUUACGCACCAUUCUGGGAAGGGAGUUGGCCAACGGGAGCCCUACUGUAGUCGCUACGUUAUCAGACGAGCUCAACGACUUGGCUUUCCCAUUAACGAGAAUGGAAGACAUCAUUGAUUUGGAUGAUCGUGUCAAGAAGUCAAAAGAUGCGAAAUUGGACUUGGCCAUUAUUAUUGCAACUUGUAAGGGAACGGACGUCAACACUGUGGUAUUACAAAUCAUGUCGAAGCUUAUUGCAGAUGAUCUCACUGCAGAUGAUGGCACAGAUUGCAGAUGAUGGCACAGUUCAGCUUAAAAGGAAAGCGCAAGAAGCGGUGUUUUAACGCGUUGGUCAAUUUUCGAGAAGCUAUUAAUGAUGCAGUUCAGGCCCAUCCAAACACUGGUCCAAAUGUCGGCAUCGACAAGAUUGACGUGGCAAUAGCAGAUUCGCUCAAAAAGGCUUCAGAUCGUGAAUAUCAAAGAAAGAAAAAGGGUGUGCCAACGGUGAACUUGGGACAAGCUGUUUGAGUAAAAUAAAAUAAUGAAGUUAUUCUAUGUUAGUUACGCAAAAAUUGUACUAUCAUUUGAAUUAUUGCAAUUUAUGUGGUUGAACUAAAUAAAACGUUUCUACCAAAUUAUUGCCGAAAUCUACUUAAUUUUGCACAAAUUCACGGAGAAUUCUUUAGUUAGUACACCGAAUUAGUGAAGAAUUCUUUAGUUAGUACACCGAAUUAGUGAAGAAUUCGCCGAGAUUUCUCGACGAUUUUGCCGAGUUUUCUGCUUUUCUAAUCGUAGAGAUUCUCCGAGAAUUAGCCUCGAUUCGGCGGUCACAUCUCAGCGAUAUCUGAGAGAAGUCACGCAGAAUCUUCACGAAUUUGUUAACGAUUAUAGCCAAAAU